GAACCGAAAGCGUGUUUGAGCGUAUGUGAAAAUUUGCCGAACGGCAAAACAACCGAUUUAUAAUUCGUUUCAAUAUAACAUGAAAUAGGAUAUGCGAAAUGACAAUUGAACGAUUAAAUAUGUUCAGCCGAAUGACCGUACGAAUGAAAAAGCACGCGAAUUGCUUGAAACAUUUGUGUCAUAACCAGGGGAAAAACGUAAAGCAAGGACCCGUGCUGUACCGUACGCCGUGGGAACAAGUCCUGGCGUGACAGGAAGGUCUGACUUACGGUUUAGGAGUCCCUGGGACGCGAUCUACGACGAAGACCGGAGUCAGAAGAAGCUGGACGGACGGAAAGGCCUGAACAGGAUUCCUGGACACAGCUAACGUGGUGAAAACCACGUGGAUACUGAAACCAAGAUGGCGUCUGAGAGAACCCGGAAGUGGAUCCUCAUUCAACGC